UACGUAGGGUGCAAGCGUUAAUCGGAAUUACUGGGCGUAAAGCGUGCGCAGGCGGUUUCGUAAGUCUGAUGUGAAAUCCCCGGGCUUAACCUGGGAAUUGCAUUGGAGACUGCGAGGCUAGAAUCUGGCAGAGAGGGGUAGAAUUCCACGUGUAGCAGUGAAAUGCGUAGAUAUGCGGAGGAACACCGAUGGCGAAGGCAGCCCCCUGGGCUAACACUGACGCUCGAGGCACGAAAGCGUGGGGAGCAAACAAGG
rnacentral:rRNA from 1 species